GACCUGAUAGCUCAGUUGGUAGAGCAUCUCCCUUUUAAGGAGAGGGUCCUGGGUUCGAGCCCCAGUCAGGUCACCA
rnacentral:tRNA from 2 species